GUUCAGAGCGCGGCGCAUCGGAGUAGGGCGGCGAGGACGGGGGCGGUGUGGGCGUUCGGCCCUUCAGUGUGCCCCCUGCAGGUGGAAGUGCAACACUCCGCGCCUUUGCCUGCCCCGCUGGCCAGGACGCGGCCACCUGGUUCUCUGCCUUGCUGCAGCCACAGUGAUCCUCCUGACGCGAACUUCGGACCCAGCUACUUACUUUUCUGUUCAAGAACUCACACUGGCGUCCCAGGAUAAAGUCCAAAGUCCUUAACCUGCCUCCAUUCAGGAUUCCUUCCCUCGAACUUCAGAGCUGAACAGGUAGAAGGAACAGCAGUUUCAGCCAUCAGCAGUUAAGGCUGGAGUGCAGUGGCGCGAUCUCGGCUCACUUCAAGCUCCGCCUCCUGGGUUCACGCCAUUCUCCUGCCUCAGCCUCCGGAGUAGCUGGGAUUACAGGCACGUGCCACCACGCCUGGGAUCUGGAACUCCUGGCCUCAAGUGAUCCGCCCACCUCAGCCUCCCAAAGUGCUAGGAUUACAGAUGGAGAAAUCACCUCCUGAGACAACCCCUAGGGCUGUUUUUCUGCUCUCUGCUGACAUUGGACCCAUUUACAUAAUCUGCUAAGAGUUCUCUGCCAGAAGCCAAGCCUUAUAACAUCUGUCAGAUGCUAACCAAUCCUGCCAAGAAGUAAUGCCAUGGUAUAUUAGUGGUCCUGCAUAAGAAACCACACAAAACUCGGCAGCUCGAAACAAUAGACAUACAUUAUUUCAGUUUCUACGGGUUAGGAAUGCAGAGCAGCUUAGCUGGGCAGGAUCCCUUAUGAGGUUGCAGCCAAGAUGUCAACUGAGGCUGUGGUCACCAGUAGGCUUGACUGGGGCUGGAAGAUCCAGUUACAAGAUGGCUCAUUCCCAUGGCUGGCAAGUUGGUGUUUAGUUGGCAGGAGCCUCUGUUCCUUGCCUCAAGGACCUUCCUAUUAGGCUACUUAAGUGUCCUCAUGACAUGGCAGCUAGCUUCCCCUAGAGCAAAUGAUCCAAGAGAGCAAGGCAAAGGCCUCCAUCUCUUGUAGGACCUUGCCUCAGAAGUGACAUCAUCCAUCAUUUCCUCCAUAUCCUAUUAGUUAAAUAAGUCAUCCCCAUUCAAUGUGGGAGGAGAUGAGACGAGGACAUGAGCACUAGGAGAUGAGAAUAAUUAGGGUCAUCUUUGAGUAUCUGGAUACCACCCCAGUCCUGUGCUUUCCCCACACCUUUAAAAGGUCUAAGGCUAUUAUUGGAUUCUCAAGAGUAUAAAAAGGACCCUGGAAAUAUAUUUGUUUUAGCCAAAACAGACUUUUUAAGUGAAAUGUGCAAUUCUUCCCAUAAAAUGCCAUGAUGGGAAAAUUUUCUUUCAGAGACUGUUUCACUAUUUAAACUCAAUCAUCUUCAAGAAAGGUUCGGGUGGGAGUGGUGGCUCAUGCCUGUAAUCCCAGGACUUUGGGAGGCCAGGGUGGGAAGACUGCUUGAGCCUAGGAGUUCAGGACCAGCCUGGACAACAUACUUGAUCCCAUCUCUAACAAAUAAAACAAAGAAGAAGAAAGCUGAGGUUUCUCCUCCUUUUACAUGGAGUUGCUGUCCUGCUUUCCCCCAGUCCCACUGCCAGCCCACUGAGUUCACAUGAUUGGUUGUAGCAUGUUGGUCAACGUUAGCAAGUCAGGGCCCCACAGAGUGAGGUGACUGUCAUCCUGCAUGAGACAUACGCCCAGUGCCAGCAAUAGAACAUCUUCCUGAGGGAGGAGACCGGGACCCUGGUGAGUAUUCCCAAGGCAAACUCUCCAUAGACAGUAAAGGGGACCCAUGCUGCAGGCACUAUGAGCUGUUUGUAGAGGCGAUGGAAUAGAACACACUGCAGAGGCUCCUGAAGCUGUAAAGAGCCAGGCUUAAUUCCUUUCCAGUCCCUCCCAUGGAUCUGUGACUGAUCUCCUAUCAUUCCUGACCUUCUGAAUACAGAUUCCCACUGGGCACCAUGGCUCAUGCCUAUAAUCCCAGCAUGUUGGGAGGCUGAGGCCAGGAGUUCAAGAUCAGCAUAGGCAACAUAGUGAAAACCUGUCUCUACAAAAAAAAAAAAAUUAAUUAGCUGGGUGUGGUGGCAUGCUCCUGUAGUCCUAGCUACUCCGGAUGCUGAGGCAAGAGGAUUGCUUACGCCUAGGAGUUUAAGGUUGCAGUGAGCCAUGAUCAUGCCACUGCACUCCACCCUGGGUGAAAGAGCGAGAUCCUGUCUCAAAAACAAACAAACAAACAAACAAACCCACAGCAAUAAAGUUUUAAAGAGGAUUCUAAAUUCAGUAGAGAUUCUGGGCAUUGGGGUUGAGAGGUGAGAAUCAGUUAUGCCCCUUCAUGACUGUGGUUUCUGAAUCAAUCAUGAACUGAACCCAGGUGUCUGAGAUAUGACAUAAUUUUUUUUAUUUUUACUACUAUAAACCUCAUAUUAGGGAAUGUAGCUUGCCAUAAUCAGAAUUAGGUUUGCUACUGUUUCGCAGUCAGAGUUGAACUUCCCCAUCCUGAACAAUAGUGAACCUCCCUUUCAUAGCCGCAGAGUCUCUCCCAAAAGGAGGGUGGGUCAGCCCUGCUGAGGAUAAGCUGAUCCUAGAAGGAGAAGGUGCCUGGCCACACAUCAUUAUGGGACAGCUAGGUGUGAUAAUAUCUCCCAGUUUAUGAACUAAACACUGUUGAUUGGUUUAAAAACAGUGUAAGUGUAUUAUUUAAAGGUAUAAAGUUAUUCAACAGAUAAACUAAAUAAUACUAUUAAUGCUAUAUCUUUUCUUUUUGUUUUGAGAUGGAGUCUUCACUCUUGUCACCCAGGCUGGAGUGCAAUGGCAUGAUAUCGGCUCACUGCAACCUCUGCCUCUCAGGUUCAAGUGAUUCUCCUGCCUCAGUCUCCCGAGUAGCUGGGAUCACAGGUCACCCACUUCCUGCUCAAGUUCCAGAAUAUCAAUCCCCAAAUUCCAAGAACUGGAGAGUGCGGAGGUGGAGAGGAGAGAGAGGAGGAUGAAGAGGAAAGAGAAGACAGCAAGACGUGUGGUUAUGACAUGGGUUGAAGUGGGAGCCGAAGGACCCCCUUUGGUCAGGGAAUCAAAGGACUUUUAUACUCAUGAAUGUCAAAACUCAAAUUUGAAGUUUUUUUGUGCCACUGCUAUAAAUACCCUGCCUCUUCUUUCAUAUUUU